GUGCUGCAGUAUUCUAGUCAGGGAGAGAAGGACCUGCAUAGGCCUCUGUUAAUACUGCAUAUGUCCCAAAUGGCACCCUAUUCCCUAUAUAGUGCACUACUUUCAUUUGACAUUUUUGUCAUUUAGCAGAUGCUCUUAUCCAGAGCGACUUACAGUAGUGAGUGAGUGAGUGCAUACAUUUUCAAAUUUGUUCGUACUUUCAACCAGAGCCCCAGUGUAACUCGUAACAUUUUCCCCUCUUCAUCUUUCGGAGAUCUGCCAGACGAUCCCAAUGUAGAAUGGAGCAUCUCAAUGGCCUCCUCUCUAAUCCUGAAGCACAUCAGAGCACACUCCAUCAACCUGGUGCUGACCUUCGAUGGAAGAGGAGUGGCCAUAGCAAUCACACUGCCAUCUACAAGUCUAUCAGCUAUCUCACUUCUACUGGGAAGUACCAGAUGGUGUAA
rnacentral:lncRNA from 1 species